rnacentral:misc_RNA from 1 species
AGAGUUAAACAGUACGUGAAAUUGUUGAAAGGGAAACGAUUGAAGCCAGUCGUACCUAUGGGUAAUCAGCCUUUUGGGUGUGAUUUUGUGGAGCGUGAAGAGUUAAACACCUUCAUUCCUGCAUAUUCGUGCACUUUGGGUGUACUUGCCCGUGCGUAAGUUAACAUCAAUUUUGGUUGUCAUAAAAUGAUUGGAGGAAUGUAGCUUCGAUCUCGUAUUGAAGUGUUAUAGCCUUUGGUAGAUGUGACGAUCGGGAUUGAGGAUUGCAACGGAUACCCUUCGGGGCUACCUGUCUGAUCUCUGAUUGUUGCUCUGGUGCCGAAAGCUUGCUUACGGUUAUCAAAGUCGAUGGUCAAUAGGUUAGAAUGGGUUAAAUUCGUUAAGGAUGUUGACGUAAUGGCUUUAAACGA